AGGCGCCUCUACAAAGCGUGGGCAAGAAUUCACCUUCAGCCCUUUGGAUGCUGGAAAACUGACCGAGCUUUGAGGAGAAUUCAGAGGCUUUGAUCAAUGUGCCAAGCCAGAUGCAGGGAAAGGGCUGUUUUUUUGGCAGACGAAGGCAGAGCCCUGAUUUUGAGCAGCCGCUGACAAUUCCUGGCAUAUGGCAGGAGAGGAGACUUCUGCCUUUCCCAUCAGGUACCAGACUGAGAAUGGGUGUCUUGAAGCCAAUGCAGACCUCCAAGAAGGAAAAAAACAAAACGCCUUUUUUCCUACUCAUGUUGGGCCAGCAUCUGUUUUGAGUUUCUUGAAACUUCUCUUCCCUUGUGAAGAGGCAUUUAUUUCUGAAGGUGCUUGAGAAUUUAGUUGAAAUGUCUCUUGAUUUCAGGCUUGUUUUACUGUUUGAAGUGGCAAA